ACCAGCAGCCAUAUCGCUCUGCAACUUACAACUGGCAACCCACUGAAGCUAAGCUGGAGCCUGGUCAGUACCUGGAGGGGAGACCUCCUGGGAAAAACUAAGGUUGCUGCUUUAA
rnacentral:rRNA from 1 species